rnacentral:miRNA from 1 species
GCUUUUAGUCGGAUGUUUGCGUC